rnacentral:rRNA from 1 species
UGGUACGUACUAGUUUAUUGGUUUCUCUCUUCUGACGAACCAUGAUGUCAUUAAUUUGGUGUCAUGUGGAAUCAGAACUGUUACUUUGAAAAAAUUAGAGUGUUUAAAGCAGGCUCACGCUUGAAUACAUUAGCAUGGAAUAAUGAAAUAGGACGUUUGAUUCUAUUUUGUUGGUUUCUAGGAUUGACGUAAUGAUUAAUAGGGAUAGUUGGGGGCAUUAGUAUUCAAUUGUCAGAGGUGAAAUUCUUGGAUUUAUUGAAGACUAACUACUGCGAAAGCAUUUGCCAAGGAUGUUUUCAUUAAUCAAGAACGAAAGUUAGGGGAUCGAAGACGAUCAGAUACCGUCGUAGUCUUAACCAUAAACUAUGCCGACUAGGGAUCGGAUGAUGUUAAUUUAAUGACUCAUUCGGCGCCUUACG